rnacentral:rRNA from 1 species
UCGAACGCUGGCGGCAUGCCUUACACAUGCAAGUCGAACGGUAGAGGGGCAACCCUUGAGAGUGGCGAACGGGUGAGUAAUGCAUCGGAACGUGCCCAGUCGUGGGGGAUAACGCAGCGAAAGCUGUGCUAAUACCGCAUGUGAUCUGUGGAUGAAAGCAGGGGACCGCAAGGCCUUGUGCGAUUGGAGCGGCCGAUGUCAGAUUAGCUAGUUGGUAGGGUAAAAGCCUACCAAGGCGACGAUCUGUAGCUG